GACAGAGGGGGCAAGCGUUGCUCGGAAUUACUGGGCGUAAAGAGCGUGUAGGCGGCUAUACAGGUCCGCUGUGAAAACUCGAGGCUCAACCUCGAGACGUCGGUGGAAACCGUAUGGCUAGAGUCCGGAAGAGGAGAGUGGAAUUCCUGGUGUAGCGGUGAAAUGCGCAGAUAUCAGGAAGAACACCCGUGGCGAAGGCGGCUCUCUGGGACGGUACUGACGCUGAGACGCGAAAGCGUGGGGAGCGAACAGG
rnacentral:rRNA from 1 species